GUAGUUUGAUCAUGGCUCAGGAUGAACGCUAGCGACAGGCUUAACACAUGCAAGUCGAGGGGCAGCGGGGAGUAGCAAUACUUCGUCCGGCGACCGGCGCACGGGUGAGUAACACGUGUGCAACCAACCCCGUACCGGGAGAUAACCCGCGGAAACGUGGACUAACAGUCCCAUAAUACUGAAGGAUCGCAUGAUCUUUCAUUUAAAAUUCCGGUGGUACGGGACGGGCACGCGUCGACAUUAGGUAGUUGGCGGGGUAACGGCCCACCG
rnacentral:rRNA from 1 species